rnacentral:rRNA from 1 species
GACGAACGCUGGCGGCGUGGAUUAGGCAUGCAAGUCGAACGGUAUCAUCCUUUCGGGGGUGAGAGAGUGGCGAACUGGUGAGUAACACGUAGGUGAUCUACCCUCAAGAUUGGGACAACCCAGGGAAACUUGGGCUAAUACCGGAUGAAAGCAGCAGUGAUGUUGUUUGAAAGGUGGCGUAAGCUGCCGUUUGGGGAUGAGCCUGCGCUCUAUUAGUUAGUUGGCGGGGUAAAGGCCCACCAAGGCGAUGAUAGAUAGGCGGCCUUAACGGGUGGUCGCCCACACUGGGAUUGAGAUACGGCCCAGACUCCUACGGGAGGCAGCAGUCGAGAAUAGUCUACAAUGGCCGAAAGGCUGAUAGUGCGACGCCGCGUGAACGAAGAAGCCCUUCGGGGUUAAAGUUCUUUUAUAUGUGAGCAGUGCUUUUCAUGUGAACAGCAUGGGGAAGAGAUAUUAGCAUAUGAAUAAGCAACGGCUAAACUCCGUGCC